UACGUAGGGGGCAAGCGUUGUCCGGAAUCAUUGGGCGUAAAGGGCGUGUAGGCGGCCAGAUAAGUCCGCUGUGAAAUCUCGAGGCUCAACUUCGAGCUGUCGGUGGAAACUGUCUGGCUAGAGUCCGGAAGAGGAGAAUGGAAUUCCUGGUGUAGCGGUGAAAUGCGCAGAUAUCAGGAAGAACACCCGUGGCGAAGGCGGUUCUCUGGGACGGUACUGACGCUGAGACGCGAAAGCGUGGGGAGCGAACAGG
rnacentral:rRNA from 1 species